AAUCUGCCUAUUAGUGGGGGACAACAUUCCGAAAGGAAUGCUAAUACCGCAUACGUCCUACGGGAGAAAGCAGGGGACCUUCGGGCCUUGCGCUAAUAGAUGAGCCUAAGUCGGAUUAGCUAGUUGGUGGGGUAAAGGCCUACCAAGGCGACGAUCUGUAGCGGGUCUGAGAGGAUGAUCCGCCACACUGGGACUGAGACACGGCCCAGACUCCUACGGGAGGCAGCAGUGGGGAAUAUUGGACAAUGGGGGGAACCCUGAUCCAGCCAUGCCGCGUGUGUGAAGAAGGCCUUAUGGUUGUAAAGCACUUUAAGCGAGGAGGAGGCUACUAGUAUUAAUACUACUGGAUAGUGGACGUUACUCGCAGAAUAAGCACCGGCUAACUCUGUGCCAGCAGCCGCGGUAAUACAGAGGGUGCGAGCGUUAAUCGGAUUUACUGGGCGUAAAGCGUGCGUAGGCGGCCAUUUAAGUCAAAUGUGAAAUCCCCGAGCUUAACUUGGGAAUUGCAUUCGAUACUGGAUGGCUAGAGUAUGGGAGAGGAUGGUAGAAUUCCAGGUGUAGCGGUGAAAUGCGUAGAGAUCUGGAGGAAUACCGAUGGCGAAAGCAGCCAUCUGGCCUAAUACUGACGCUGAGGUACGAAAGCAUGGGGAGCAAACAGGAUUAGAUACCCUGGUAGUCCAUGCCGUAAACGAUGUCUACUAGCCCGUUGGGGCCUUUGAGCUUUAGUGGCGCAGCUACGCGAUAAGUAGACCGCCU
rnacentral:rRNA from 1 species